CGUGCUGGAUGCUGUUUUCAAGCCUGAAGUUCGCUGAUCCAGAGCAGUCUUUCUGCAAACAUAUCUGGAGUCCAUCAGAUGACGGACAUGUUGAAACUACAGCCAACACUGAUGAAGGAAUGAUCACAGACCAGGAAGAAGAAAUGAGGCAUUUAAAA